rnacentral:rRNA from 1 species
UACGGGAAGAAAAAGAGCUACGUGUAGCUUACUGACGGUACCGUAAGAAUAAGGACCGGCUAACUCCGUGCCAGCAGCCGCGGUAAUACGGAGGGUCCGAGCGUUAUCCGGAAUUAUUGGGUUUAAAGGGUCCGUAGGCGGGCCGUUAAGUCAGGGGUGAAAGUCUGCGGCUCAACCGUAGAAAUGCCUUUGAUACUGGCGGUCUUGAGUUAUGGUGAAGUUGCCGGAAUAUGUAGUGUAGCGGUGAAAUGCAUAGAUAUUACAUAGAACACCGAUUGCGAAGGCAGGUGACUAACCAUAUACUGACGCUGAUGGACGAAAGCGUGGGGAGCGAACAGGAUUAGAUACCCUGGUAGUCCACGCCGUAAACGAUGGAUACUAGCUGUCCGAGGCCUUGAGUCUUGGGCGGCCAAGCGAAAGUGAUAAGUAUCCCACCUGGGGAGUACGUUCGCAAGAAUGAAACUCAAAGGAAUUGACGGGGGCCCGCACAAGCGGUGGAGCAUGUGGUUUAAUUCGAUGAUACGCGAGGAACCUUACCAGGGCUUAAAUGCAUAUUGACAGGGCUAGAGAUAGCUUUUCCUUCGGGCAAUUUGCAAGGUGCUGCAUGGUUGUCGUCAGCUCGUGCCGUGAGGUGUCAGGUUAAGUCCUAUAACGAGCGCAACCCCUACCGUUAGUUGCCAGCAUGUCAUGAUGGGGACUCUAACGGGACUGCCGGUGCAAACCGUGAGGAAGGUGGGGAUGACGUCAAAUCAUCACGGCCCUUACGUCCUGGGCCACACACGUGCUACAAUGGCCGGUACAGAGAGCAGCCACUUGGCAACAAGGAGCGAAUCUAUAAAACCGGUCACAGUUCGGAUCGGGGUCUGCAACCCGACCCCGUGAAGCUGGAAUCGCUAGUAAUCG